CCUACGGGAGGCAGCAGUGAGGAAUAUUGGUCAAUGGCCGGAAGGCUGAACCGGCCAAGUCGCGUGAGGGACGACUGCCCUAUGGGUUGUAAACCUCUUUUAUAAGGGAAGAAUAAAUGCUACGUGUAGCAUGAUGCCUGUACCUUAUGAAUAAGCAUCGGCAAACUCGGUGCCAGCAGCCGCGGUAAUACGGAGGAUGCGAGCGUUAUCCGGAUUUAUUGGGUUUAAGGGGUGCGUUGGCGGUUUUUUAAGUUAGUGGUUAAACGUCGGGGCUAAACCUUGAUUUGCAAUUAAUACUGUAAGACUCGAGUACAGGAGAGGUAGGCGGAAUAAGUUAAGUAGCGGUGAAAUGCUUAGAUAUAACGUAGAACACCGAUAGCGAAGGCAGCUUACCAGACUGCGACUGACGCUGAAGCACGAGAGCGUGGGUAGCGAACAGGAUUAGAUACCCGGGUAGUC
rnacentral:rRNA from 1 species